GGCAAAUACCGAAUAGAUGAUUGUUGAGUUGCGAAUGUCACCGAAAGAGAGGCCCAGCCAGGCAUAUCGCAAUAUUUCAAAAUACAAUCGCGUGAAAACAUCGGUGGAAAAGCAAAUAGCUAUUGCUGUACGGAGAACACCAUGAAAAGACUAAUCUGCCUGUUAUCAAAAUUCUCCAUUUAUUUGAGCGAACAGUAACCUAUUUUAGCGGAGCAUCGGCCGUAUCCCCGCCCUUCGUUUUGUCACCAAUCAGAGAUGUCUAUCUAACUCUCCAUUGUGAUCCGUCGGGUGGACAUCAAUAGCAACACGCAGGCUCUAACACAGGCUAAGAGUCACGGACAUUUGAACUGAGCAUGGAAAAGGUCCUUUCAUUACUCAGCCCCCUUGUCAUGGAAUUUCCCCCCAAGCCAACAUAAAACUCAAGGACCUGGUGUCCCUGGAGGAGGAACGGGUUGUUGAGACAUGUCAUUGUUUCUAGUUGUCACCCCAUGUCAAUCAUUUGCAAUGCCUUAUUUAAGGAAGAACGUUGUUUUACCACACACACACACUGUUUGUUUGCUGGUGUAUUUGUGCUGUUGCCAGUGUCUUCUGUCUGUGUUGUCCGUUUUGGCUUACAAAGUUUUUUUGUCCGAGCCCAGGAGGCUUUUUGCCUCCUGCCAGGCCGUCGUAGUAAGUAAGAAUUUGUUCUUAUUGACUUGCCUGGUUAGAUAAAGGUUAAAUACUUUUUUU